UUCUUCUCGUUCUUCCUAAACGAGGAAACGUCAAAUUAAUCCAUCCAAGCAAGCCGAGUGUGGUUUGGCGAUUUGGUACCGCGUUGUUGUUCAUUUUAAAGUGCCUAAAAGAAGGAAGAGGAAGUGCAGCAAAGCUGGCGUAGAUUCGGGCUUAGCGGUGAAAAUCUUGACCGGAGGCUUAUUUUUCAAUUCCCGACGACGAGUGAGGCGCAUUACAGUUCCGACCUUCUAGCAGUGAUCGGAAUGCGGAAAUGUUGGGCAGCACCGUUCCGACGUUGUUCGGAUUCACAACGCUGGACAGCUGCAAGUACCGAGUUUUGUCCAGAUCGAAACCCACGGCGGCAAGGACAUCGCCACGAACCUGGACAACACCUUUCAGAUCGUGCUGAAGAAGAAGCUCAAAAAGAACUAGGACCGGCAAGUACGAGCUGGACGUCGUAAAAGUGGUCCUCACGUUCUGGCCCCGGCUGUACGGGAAUCCGGGUGCGUGAAACGGCCCAGCAGGCACAGGUGGCGGUCGUCGCGAAGGCAGGCAAGAACACCGCGCCGUAUCUGACGUAGUAGGCGCUGGCCUGGAUUUCGGCCCAGUACGACACUUACAAUCCGGCAGCCAGUUUGGCGAGCCAUUCGUUGCAGUGCGCCCCCGCCCGCUGGGCAAAGAGUUUGUGUCUUGUGAAGCGGAAAUUGCACGUGCACGUCGAGCAAUCCGAAAUCCAACACCCCUGAAGAGUGCGAAAAAAAUACCAGCGCUGAUCGAAACAUAAAUAAGUUCGCGAAGCAGUCAACAGCAACAGCGACCUGGAGGAAUCAAAAAAUCGCGAGACGGAAUCGCCGAUGACCGUGGAGUACAACUCUGAUUGCGAGCUGAACGAGGGUGACACGCUGUGCAUCGAGGAUUCUGUCGAGGGUCAAGAACCGAAGACCGGUGAGGAUCCCAAAUAGUUGGAGGAAUCUCCCAGUUCUGCCAUUUCACAAACAACAGCAGAGAAGAGGGUCACUCCACCGCGCAGCAGAAUUUCUCGACUAAUCGAAAGUGACUCUGAGGAUGAGAAUCCGGAACCCAGCGGAAAUAAAAGUCCAGCUGGCACCACAACUUCAAAAAGCUGUCCCGAAUCAUCGACAGCGAUUCCGACGAGGCGGACAGAACCGUCACGACUCGGCGAAACCUAAUUACUGAGUUGGGAAGUGACUCGGACCAGCUGGCCAAACAAAACCAGACGAUCGACGCCAUCGGGGACGAAAUCGACAAGACCAUGAGCCGGCUCAAGUCGUUGGUGGAUUUGGACUCGAGCUCGAGAAGGGAUCAGGAAUCGGUUGGUGAAAAAAGCGCAAAAAGAAGCUCAACCCGAAGAAGGAGCGGUCCCAGGCCAUGGAGAAGAAAAAGGACCCGAAGGAUCUGCUGGCCAGUGUGAGUA